rnacentral:rRNA from 1 species
UAGGGAAUCUUCCACAAUGGGCGAAAGCCUGAUGGAGCAACGCCGCGUGAGUGAAGAAGGUUUUCGGAUCGUAAAACUCUGUUGUAAGGGAAGAACAAGUGCAGUAGUAACUGGCUGCACCUUGACGGUACCUUAUUAGAAAGCCACGGCUAACUACGUGCCAGCAGCCGCGGUAAUACGUAGGUGGCAAGCGUUGUCCGGAUUUAUUGGGCGUAAAGCGCGCGCAGGCGGUUUCUUAAGUCUGAUGUGAAAGCCCCCGGCUUAACCGGGGAGGGUCAUUGGAAACUGGGAGACUUGAGUGCAGAAGAGGAAAGUGGAAUUCCAAGUGUAGCGGUGAAAUGCGUAGAGAUUUGGAGGAACACCAGUGGCGAAGGCGACUUUCUGGUCUGUAACUGACGCUGAGGCGCGAAAGCGUGGGGAGCAAACAG